rnacentral:rRNA from 1 species
UAGGGAAUAUUGGUAAUCUGGGAAACCGGGAACCAGCAACGCCGCGUGCGCGAUGAAGGCCUUCGGGUUGUAAAGCGCUUUUUGAGAGGAUGAGGAAGGACAGUACUCUUAGAAUAAGCCUCGGCUAACUACGUGCCAGCAGCCGCGGUAAAACGUAGGAGGCGAGCGUUAUCCGGAUUUACUGGGCGUAAAGCGUGUGUAGGCGGUUUGAUAAGUUGGAUGUGAAAGCUCCUGGCUUAACUGGGAGAGGUCGUUCAAAACUAUCAGACUUGAGAGUGGUAGAGGGAGGUGGAAUUCCGCAUGUAGUGGUGAAAUGCGUAGAUAUCCGGAGGAACACCAGUGGCGAAAGCGGCCUCCUGGGCCAUUUCUGACGCUAAGACGCGAAAGCUAGGGUAGCAAACG